AGCUUUGCGCAGUUGCAGUAUCGUAGCCAAUGAGGUUUAUCCAAGGCUCAAUUAUUGCUAAUUGAAAUCUGUAUUUAGUCAUGGAAACUCUAUUUUGUUUUCAACAAUUAGAUAAUUGGGCUCAUUCGAUGGUG
rfam:Mustela putorius furo unplaced genomic scaffold scaffold00027, whole genome shotgun sequence.